rnacentral:rRNA from 1 species
UACGGAGAGGGCGUAGCGUUAUUCGGAAUUAUUGGGCGUAAGGGCGGCGUAGGCUGGUUAAUAAGUUAAAGUAGAAAUACCCGAGGCUUAACCUUGGAAUUGCUUUUAAACUAUUAACCUAGAGAUUGAAGAGGAUAGAGGAAUUCCUGAUGUAGAGGUAAAUUCGUAAAUAUUAGGAGGAACACCAGUGGCGAAGGCGUCUAUCUGGUUCAAAUUUGACGCUGAGGCGCGAAGGCGUGGGGAGCAAACAGGAUUAGAUACCCCGGUAGU